CCAGACUCCUACGGGAGGCAGCAGUGGGGAAUAUUGGGCAAUGGGCGCAAGCCUGACCCAGCAACGCCGCGUGAAGGAAGAAGGCUUUCGGGUUGUAAACUUCUUUUAAGAGGGAAGAGUAGAAGACGGUACCUCUUGAAUAAGCCACGGCUAACUACGUGCCAGCAGCCGCGGUAAUACGUAGGUGGCAAGCGUUGUCCGGAUUUACUGGGUGUAAAGGGCGUGUAGCCGGGCCGGCAAGUCAGAUGUGAAAUCCCAAGGCUCAACCUUGGAACUGCAUUUGAAACUGUUGGUCUUGAGUAUCGGAGAGGCAGGCGGAAUUCCUAGUGUAGCGGUGAAAUGCGUAGAUAUCAGGAGGAACAUCGGUGGCGUAAGCGCUUUACUGGGCCGUAAUUGACACUGAGGAACGAAAGCCGGGGUAGCAAAUGGGAUUAGAUACCCCGGUA
rnacentral:rRNA from 1 species